rnacentral:rRNA from 1 species
AUUGAACGCUGGCGGCAGGCUUAACACAUGCAAGUCGAGCGGAGCGAGGGUGCUUGCACCUUAGCUUAGCGGCGGACGGGUGAGUAAUGCUUAGGAAUCUGCCUAUUAGUGGGGGACAACAUUCCGAAAGGAAUGCUAAUACCGCAUACGCCCUACGGGGGAAAGCAGGGGAUCUUCGGACCUUGCGCUAAUAGAUGAGCCUAAGUCGGAUUAGCUAGUUGGUGGGGUAAAGGCCUACCAAGGCGACGAUCUGUAGCGGGUCUGAGAGGAUGAUCCGCCACACUGGGACUGAGACACGGCCCAGACUCCUACGGGAGGCAGCAGUGGGGAAUAUUGGACAAUGGGCGGAAGCCUGAUCCAGCCAUGCCGCGUGUGUGAAGAAGGCCUUUUGGUUGUAAAGCACUUUAAGCGAGGAGGAGGCUACUUAGAUUAAUACUCUAGGAUAGUGGACGUUACUCGCAGAAUAAGCACCGGCUAACCCUGUGCCAGCCGCCGCUGUAAGAC